CUAUCGGAUGCGCUACGUGGGAUUAGCUAGUUGGUGAGGUAAUGGCUCACCAAGGCGACGAUCCCUAGCUGGUUUGAGAGGAUGAUCAGCCACACUGGAACUGAGACACGGUCCAGACUCUACGGGAGGCAGCAGUGGGGAAUAUUGGACAAUGGGCGCAAGCCUGAUCCAGCCAUGCCGCGUGUGUGAAGAAGGCCUUCGGGUUGUAAAGCACUUUCAGUUGGGAGGAAGGGUUGCGUGUUAAUAGUACACAGCCUUGACGUUACCAACAGAAGAAGCACCGGCUAACUCUGUGCCAGCAGCCGCGGUAAUACAGAGGGUGCAAGCGUUAAUCGGAAUUACUGGGCGUAAAGCGCACGUAGGCGGUUUUUUAAGUCAGAUGUGAAAGCCCCGGGCUCAACCUGGGAAUUGCAUUUGAAACUGGAAAACUAGAGUGUGUGAGAGGGGGGUAGAAUUCCAAGUGUAGCGGUGAAAUGCGUAGAGAUUUGGAGGAAUACNNCAGUGGCGAAGGCGGCCCCCUGGCACAACACUGACGCUCAGGUGCGAAAGCGUGGGGAGCAAACAGGAUUAGAUACCCUGGUAGUCCACGCCGUAAACGAUGUCUACUAGCUGUUCGUGACCUUGUGUCGUGAGUAGCGCAGCUAACGCACUAAGUAGACCGCCUGGGGANGNUACGGUCGCAAGAUUAAAACUCAAAUGAAUUGACGGGGGCCCGCACAAGCGGUGGAGCAUGUGGUUUAAUUCGACGCAACGCGAAGAACCUUACCUACUCUUGACAUCCAGAGAAGACUGCAGAGAUGCGGUUGUGCCUUCGGGAACUCUGAGACAGGUGCUGCAUGGCUGUCGUCAGCUCGUGUUGUGAAAUGUUGGGUUAAGUCCCGCAACGAGCGCAACCCUUAUCCUUAGUUGCCAGCACGUAAUGGUGGGAACUCUAGGGAGACUGCCGGUGAUAAACCGGGAGG
rnacentral:rRNA from 1 species